AUUGAACGCUGGCGGUAUGCUUAACACAUGCAAGUCGAACGAUGAGAAAGAGCUUGCUCUUUCGAUUAGUGGCGGACGGGUGCGUAACGCGUAGGAAUCUACCUAUUAGUGGGGGACAACUUAGGGAAACUUAAGCUAAUACCGCAUACGCCCUACGGGGGAAAGAAGGGGAUCGCAAGACCUUUUGCUAAUAGAUGAGCCUGCGUAGGAUUAGCUAGUUGGUGGGGUAAAAGCUCACCAAGGCGACGAUCCUUAACGGGUUUGAGAGAAUGAUAAGGAACACUGGAACUGAGAAACGGUCCAGACUCCUACGGGGGGCAGCAGUGGGGAAUAUUGGACAAUGGGCGAAAGCCUGAUCCAGCAAUACCGCGUGUGUGAAGAAGGCCUUAGGUUUGUAAAGCACUUUCAAUUGGAAGGAAAACCUCGAAGCUAAUACCUUCGAGUUUGACAUUACCUUUAGAAGAAGCACCGGCUAACUCCGUGCCAGCCGCCGCCGUAA
rnacentral:rRNA from 1 species